GGGUUUUAAGCAGAGGGGAAGUGAUGAUCGGAACUGUAGCUCAGAGGAUUCUCUGUGGGCAGUGAUGAUGAUUGGGCACAGCCCUGGGCAGGGUUGGAAGCAGAGAGGCCUGGUGACCAUCUGCAAGGAGCCCAUGGGCCAUGUGGGUGUGCUUGUCACCAUGCUUUGGCAAGCCACGUGCACAGGAAAGAGGCUGACUUACAAGAAUCAGCAGCUCCUGAAAACCCAGCGAGGCCCAGCCAGGCCUGCAGCCAACUUCCACUUUAUUCGGGAUGCUUUCACUUUCCAGACAUCUCGUUUUGAGUCAAGAUUCCUCCUUUUGAACAUGGGACUUUCCAGUAGGACCACAGCUCCUUCCGUGAGCUCAUUUGGCCUAGGAUGUCCUGGUCUGUUGAGGGAAUCUUCCUUCCGAAGGAGGACGUCCGUCAUGUGGUCCCUCUGGGGUCUUCUUCUCUGCGAAGCCCUCCUUCCCAUCGUGAUUAUCGGCGGCGUCCAAGUGCUCAGCAAGGUGGGGGACUCCGUGUUGCUGGCGGCAGAGUGCCCUCCUGGCUUCCAAGUGCGCGAGGCCAUCUGGCGAUCUCUCUGGCCGUCAGAGGAACUCCUGGCCACGUUUUUCCGGGGUUCCUUGGAGACGCUGUACUACUCCCGUUUCCUGGGCCGAGUCCAGCUACAUGGCAACCUCAGCCUGGAGCUUGGGCCCCUGAAAACUGGAGACAGCGGCAACUUCUCCGUGCUGAUGGUGGACACCGCGGGUCAAACCUGGACCCAGACCCUGCAUCUCAAGGUGUACGAUACGGUGCCCAAGCCUGUGGUUCAAGUGUUCACUGCUGCAACGGAAGAGGUUCAACCCCCCAGUACCUGCCAGGUCUUCUUGUCCUGCUGGGCCCCCAACACCAGUGACAUAACCUAUAGCUGGCGACGGGAGAGGCUGAUGGGCGUUGACGUGGGACCGCACGGCCUUUUCUCAAAUGGACAGGUGUUAAGUGUCUCGCUGGGACUGGGCGACAAAGAUGUGGCCUAUACCUGCAUUGCCUCCAACCCUGUCAGCUGGGAUACGGCCACAGUCACUCCCUGGGAGAGCUGCCAUCAUGAAGCAGCCUCUGGGAAGGCCUCCUACAAGGAUGUGCUGCUGGUGGUAGUGCCCAUCUCAGUGUUCCUGAUUCUAGCUGGUCUCUUUGGGGCAUGGCACCAUGGCCCCUGCUCAGGGAAAAGGAAAAGGAAGGAUGCUGUCACUGACAGGGUGGUUCCAGAGACGGAGAAUCCCCUCGUGUAAGAUACGCCGCCGUGAGGGACAACAUAAACUGGUGCUUGGAUCAUGACAAGAGGCCCUGCCCAGCCACAUGAUGCUCCACACCCGGAAACUUCCAGGAUCCUCAGAACUUCCACAAGUCUCUUGUCUGCCGCUAGAGAACAGCCAAGGAAGCCGUCACCCUGGCUCCAACUUCCUCCCUCCUCUUUGCACCUGCUAGAUCUUCUCCAGGCAAGGUGGACUAAGAGGGUGCUUCCUCAAGAGCACUGGACAUUCUCUAGGAUCCACAGAGACAUUGUCCUUCUAUACUACUGUAUAGAGGGAAUUAUUUAACUAUCAAGAUACUGCCUCCAGGCCAGGUCCUGGGCCCUAAGAGAUACCAGACAUUUGAGUUAACCACUGCCAGCUCCAAGCCCAGCCCCUGGAGUCUGAGAUCCUUGUGUUCAAGAUGUUACCAUAAGAAAAGUUACAGAAUAAGGAAAGGUGGAGGAAAGGAAGGGCUUUUCUUUUCUGGCAUGAAGGACUUUGGCCAUCUGAGUUCAAGGCCCCUCAAAGGUAAACUGAGGUAAUGAGUGACGAAGGAUAGCUGACAUGCCAUCUUGGGGUAGAAGCCAUUUUUCUGGUAGCACCCUAUUAAUAGACAUCUUCAUCCCCAUUGACUACUCUCAUGCCUUCUGCGUGAUCUGGGGUGGUAUUUGGGGGUCUCUCAGUACAUUCUACACAGUUGCCAGAAAGGAAAAACAAGCAAACAAAACCCAGAGAGUUUGACCCAGCCAACAGGAAAGCCUUGCACAACGGCAAGAGAAGCCGCUAAGUUCAGGGUGAGUCUGUCCUCCUGAAACUGGGAGAAGGAAGAGCCAUGAGAAGCUACAUGGGAGGAAAACUGUGGAGAAGAAGGAUGCUGAGACACUUCAGAAUCGGCCACAUUCAUUUUCAGAUGCAAGUGUAGAAGACCCACCUAAGUUCAAGGGGAGAGCCAAGUCCCUACCACUCAACUGUAGGAUGGUCAAGGUCGCUUUGACACACGCCGUAGAGGAUACUGUUAUGGCCAUCCUUGGAAAAUGUAUCCUGCCAUUGAAUGAUUCUGUCUUGAAAAAGUCUAGGCUGUCUAUUGCUCUUUGGGAAAACAAAGCACUUACUGAGUUAAAUUUAUCCUGGUGAAGGAGCAGCUACUAAGGUCCAUGCUUAUUCUCAUCCAAAUGGAAUGGGUUUUAUCCUGGGGCCCCGCCCAGACCUUGAUAAUGGAGAGGAAGGAGGCACUGAGGAAGCAGAGAUAGUUUUGAAUAUGUUGCCUGGGUGGCUUCAGUCUCUCCACCCAGGAAGUCAGUCCUGCCCUGGCACCUUCCCUCUUCUCCCCACUGCCGAGACAGCCACUUCACCCGGGACAAAUAAUGGGGACCAUCCACUGGCCGGUGUGUUCACAUUACACACCUCCUGUCCACUUACCCUGGAUCCCCUCUCACUGGCCUUUCUCAGAGGUUCCUGGCUUUAUCGAAUUCUUUCAUUCGCCUGCCCUCACCUUUCUUCUCUCCCCUUUCCUCCAACUUCCGCAUGCAGAGUGCACGUGCCCACACGGCCUGGCAGCUUGUGCUGCCCUUCCCUGCUACUUACAGGCAUCUUCUCACCAACUCCUGGAAAAUGAAAGCCUGUCUAUGAAACAACGUGAAAAGGGAAGCCCAGGCUCUAGGGAUGAGCCAUGGUGGUUCUGGGGCGAUAAAACACACACUGUCCCCCACCUUCCCUCCCUUUAUCUCCACAGCCUCACCUCAAAUCCAAGCACAGGUCUCAUCUUUGUGAGGUGGUUUUUAUCUACCUUGUGUAGACAGUGGAUUUGCAGGGAGCUGUACCAGGGCCACUUGGAACAGGACAUGCUGCUCAAACACACUGCUGCUCCCAUCCCCAAUGACUCACUUGUCAACUAGUAGACUUAUUAUCCUUCCUCUGGAAAACACAAAGUGCUCGUGGGAGACCAGUCUUAUUCUAAGAGACAUUGGGAAAGAUGCUUCAAAAGUUACACCAUCCCAAGUAUGAACCAAGCAUUCAGCAUAUGCUGAGAAUUCUCUGAGGCCCUGAGGAAUCAGUUUCGGAUGAAGCAAAGCCUUUGCCUUUGUAGAGUCCAUGUUCAAUGGCAUAUAAAUAGAUCGAUAAGUAUAUGCUAGAUGCUGAGAGGUUCCGUUUAAAGGAUAAGGCAGGCUGGCUUUGUGGUUCAAGCUUAGAGACCUGGCUACUUAGAAGGCUGAAGUGGGAGGAUGGUAAUUCAAGGCCUGCCUGGACUACAGAAUAAGUUCAAG